GGAGAGAUGGCUGAGUGGACGAAAGCGCACGACUCGAAAUCGUGUGGGCCGAAAGGCCCCGGGGGUUCGAAUCCCUCUCUCUCCG
rnacentral:tRNA from 3 species